rnacentral:lncRNA from 1 species
GUUAGACCAUAUAUUCUCAAUGGAGGAGCCAUUAUUAGCAUAAAAACGGUUAAGUCUUUCAAACUCCAUUGGCAGUCGUUUGUGAGCAGGAAGGUGUCACAACUGGAAAUUUUGUGUCAUGUAAUCUAUACACCCAAGCUAAUGUGAAUCAAAAGCUUAAGAACAUGUGUAACACCUAUGAUUAUAACUUCAAAAACUUCAAGUAAAUACAUCAUACAAAUACUACAAAUAGUCAUCAAAUAAUUGGAGACCCUAGAAGUCCUUGUUUAAGUCCAUUUUGGACUAGGACUCCCUUAUUGGAUCCAAGUGGACCAAUAAGCUUCCAAUUAGACUAUCAUGGGCUUAGAACCCUAAUUGGGCUCUAAUCGGACCCACAUUUAUUUAUUUCAACAUUUUGGGUCAUAUUGGGCCUAGAAUGAAAUGAAUUAAAAGCCUUGAUACAUGAAUAACCUAAACUAGUCCAAUAAAAAUAUAAAAAUCCUACCACAUUCCUUUAGACUUAAAACAUACCUAAGAUUAACUCUAAUAGUGGGCUUAGGGGCAAAGGCCCAAUUUUUUUUCUUUCCCUCCCAAAAAUCUCGGCCCAAGGCCCAAAUCCAAGAAGAUAAGGAAGAGUUGACUUGUUGUGCCACAUCAUUAUUGUCCAUAGGAUUUCCAUGCAAGAUAUCCCAUUCUUCCAUNUCAAAUUGGACCCACAUUUAUUUAAUUCAACAUUUUAGGUCAUGUUGGACCUAGAAUGAAAUGAACUAAAAGCCUUGAUACAUGAAUAACCUAAACUAGUCCAAUAAAAAUAUGAAAAUCCUACCACAUUCUUUUAGGCUUAAAACAUACUCAAGAUUAACACUAAUAUUGGGCUAAGGGGCAAAGGCCCAAAUUUUUCCUUUUAUUUCCAAAUUCUCGGCCCAAAUGCACAAGCCCAAGAAGAUGGAAGAGUUGACUUGUUGUGCCACAUCAUUAUUGUCCAUAGGAUUUCCAUGCAAGAUAUCCCAUUCUUCCAUGAAAGUAUCACUUCAAAGAUCACCUCACUUCUUCCUCGCUCUCACUCUCGGCCACAAGCACACACACACACCACAAAAAUCUCUCAAACUCUCUCAAGAACACUCAAGAACACUCCU